AAGCGAAACCGCCCCGGCCUGCUGGGGCGGUCUGCCGGACGUGGUUGUCCGGUACUGAUGAGCAGCCACCC
rnacentral:hammerhead_ribozyme from 4 species